rnacentral:miRNA from 1 species
CUUCGCCGUUAUCGUCAUAGCGCGUCAGGCUUUGAUCAACCCAAUCCCAGACGAAGCCGCCCUGCAAGCGCGGGAACUGGCGGAA